rnacentral:rRNA from 1 species
CCCGCUGAACUUAAGCAUAUCAGUAAGCGGAGGAAAAGAAACUAACAAGGAUUCCCGUAGUAACGGCGAGUGAACAGGGAGGAGCUCAAAUUUGGAAUCUGGCGUGCCCGCCCGGUAAAAGGGGGGGCAGGCCCGAAUUGUAGUCUAGAGACGGUGGGGUGCGGGUGUGUGUGGGCGCAAGCCUGGACGACGGACGGCCGGGACGUGCACAAGUGCUCUGGAAUGGGCCAUCACAGAGGGUGAGAAUCCCGUUUGGGCACGGCGGGACGGACGGCGGACACGCACGCACGGGACGCUCCCGAGAGGGGGUGUGUGCCUGCGGUCAAAGAGUCGAGUUGUUUGGGAAUGCAGCUCAAAAGGGGUGGUAAACGUCAUCCAAGGCUAAAUAGGGGCAAGAGACCGAUAGCGAACAAGUACCGUGAGGGAAAGAUGAAAAGCACCUUGAAAAGGGAGUUAAAGAGGGCGUGAAAUUGUUAAAAGGGAAACGAUUGUCGACGGGAGAGCGUGUGUGUGUGGGGGGACGCGGGGAGCCCGGAGACGGAGGUGUGCGCGCCAUGCAAAGCGAUUUGUGUGUGGGUGUGUGCCCGGUUGGGGGGGGACCUGGUUUCUGCCGGACACGCGCGGGUCAGGGCGGCUUUGGGACGGUGCCAGGAGACCGUGGGAGGGUAGCCGGGGACGAGAGUGCCCGGAACGUAUAGCCCGCGGGGAAGAGGUGCGGACUGGAGUGACGGGAGCCCGAGAUGGUGUGGAUGGUGACGACGGGGGGGACUCGACGCGGACUGGGUGGAGACACGCAGACGGCGGGGGUGCCGCCCGGGACACGGACACACGCAUGGCGGGCGUUCUCUGACGGAAAGGCGACAAACGACCCGUCUUGAAACACGG